GAUGAACGCUGGCGGCGUGCCUAAUACAUGCAAGUCGAGCGAACAGACGAGGAGCUUGCUCCUUCGACGUUAGCGGUGGACGGGUGAGUAACACGUAGGUAACCUACCUAUAAGACUGGGAUAACUUCGGGAAACCGGAGCUAAUACCGGAUAAUAUUUCGAACCGCAUGGUUCGAUAGUGAAAGAUGGCUUUGCUAUCACUUAUAGAUGGACCUGCGCCGUAUUAGCUAGUUGGUAAGGUAACGGCUUACCAAGGCAACGAUACGUAGCCGACCUGAGAGGGUGAUCGGCCACACUGGAACUGAGACACGGUCCAGACUCCUACGGGAGGCAGCAGUAGGGAAUCUUCCGCAAUGGGCGAAAGCCUGACGGAGCAACGCCGCGUGAGUGAUGAAGGUCUUCGGAUCGUAAAACUCUGUUAUUAGGGAAGAACAAACGUGUAAGUAACUGUGCACGUCUUGACGGUACCUAAUCAGAAAGCCACGGCUAACUACGUG
rnacentral:rRNA from 1 species